AGUGAACGCUGGCGGUAGGCCUAACACAUGCAAGUCGAACGGCAGCACAGUAAGAGCUUGCUCUUACGGGUGGCGAGUGGCGGACGGGUGAGGAAUACAUCGGAAUCUACUUUUUCGUGGGGGAUAACGUAGGGAAACUUACGCUAAUACCGCAUACGACCUACGGGUGAAAGCAGGGGAUCUUCGGACCUUGCGCGAAUGAAUGAACCGAUGUCGGAUUAGCUAGUUGGCGGGGUAAAGGCCCACCAAGGCGACGAUCCGUAGCUGGUCUGAGAGGAUGAUCAGCCACACUGGAACUGAGACACGGUCCAGACUCCUACGGGAGGCAGCAGUGGGGAAUAUUGGACAAUGGGCGCAAGCCUGAUCCAGCCAUACCGCGUGGGUGAAGAAGGCCUUCGGGUUGUAAAGCCCUUUUGUUGGGAAAGAAAAGUAGCAGGUUAAUACCCCGCUGUUCUGACGGUACCCAAAGAAUAAGCACCGGCUAACUUCGUG
rnacentral:rRNA from 1 species